GGAGAGGUGCCAGAGUGGUUGAAUGGGGCGGUCUCGAAAACCGUUGUGGCUCUCACGGGUCACCGAGGGUUCGAAUCCCUCCCUCUCCGCCA
rnacentral:tRNA from 1 species